ensembl:lncRNA
AAUGUAUACAGUUUAUUACUCACAAUAGUUAUACAGUACAAAAUACAAUGUUUUCCUAACCCUUUUCAAUGAUUUUUAUAAAAAGUUUAUUUUGGUGCAGAUUUUAGAACUUUUGUUUUUUAUUGUUUUAAAUGUUUAAAUGAAUUGCAUCUCUAAACAUCUAACAUCAGUAUAGAUUUUAAAAGUUCAGCUCUUGUCACAGGGUGAACAGUUUUUAUUCCAGUAACUAUGAUCGAAUCGAAUAGAAUUAGUUUUAUCGCAGAUCCAGUCUGAAGGCAGUGUUGGCAGAGGCGCAUUGUCUGCUGAUUGGUCAGAUUUCUUGCGCAUGCGCAGAGCGUUCGAGAAACAUGGCGUCCUCCAGUGAGCGCUCCGAGAAAAGCGAAAGUUUCCAGAGAAACGAACGCGGCGAUGCGCUUGUUUCAGACAGUCUUUCACACGACAGCUGCAGCGAGACUGUGCAAGACGAAGACUCGAGCGAAUAUGACAAGAAAGUGGGCGUAUCGACACAAACCGGGACCUAACUGUUACUGGCUCACGCGCGUGGCGCUGCUGCGAGCCAUCGCUUUCAUCUACUGUGAGUCCGACAGGUGGCAGCGCUACAGGAUGCUGUUGCUAGGAGACCAGACACACUUAGUUACAUCAGUUAGUUACAGUUACUAGCCUGUGCACUAGAAACCUAAAAGUUUACAUUAGUGCAACGCCUGUGUAUAAUAUAAUACCUCACCUUUUUCUUGCCAAAGUGUGAAAUCACUGCUGUCUAGUUGUGGCUUUCUGCUCAUUGGAGAGAAAGGGCUCAUGCCAUGAAGGACUACUUGAGGAGCAUUAAGCGUUAUGUGGGUGGCAAGAUUGGCAUUGCGGCCCUGGCGUACACUCCUUCGGUCCUCUGGUUUAUGGACUGGAAUGACAUGGAUGCCAACCUGGAUGGCACUGCUCUGGUGGGAAUGGCUCUGGCAGGGUUUGUUUUAAUUAUGGGGAAGUGCCAGUAUGAUCAUUAUGGGAGUGCUUUGGAUCCUGUAUCACUCUGAGCGUCAGACAGCUUUGGUGCUCUUUUGACCCAGCCGGUCCCGAACCCAAUGUCCUUCUACAUGCAUCGCUCGCUGUGGUGCUUUCAUCGCUCUAGAAGCUCAGCAACCCUUCAUCGAGCUCGUCAUGCUCUUCUUCACCUUCAUGGGCUGACAGAUGUCCUGCAGAUCCUCUUCCAGAUGGUUUCAGAGCAAACUGUUCCACACUCAUCCAGAUCAUUUCAGAAGAGUUUCAACAUUGUUGCCAUCUAGUGGCAUUACUGGGUUUUUUACCAGCUCAGCCAAACACAACAGUGUUGUUAGUUUCAGCAUGACAGCCUAAAGUGUGUUUUCUGACAGGUUACUCUGAUCAUUAGUGUGAAUAUGAGUUUUCUGUGGCUCCCAGUCUGACCUGUUUGUGUUCCUCCGCUCUGGAUGAGCAUGAC